GUGAGGCUCUGAAUGCCCCCUCCCUGGAAGCAUUCCAGGCCAGGCUGGAUAGGGCUUUGAGCAACCUGGUCUAGAAGGAGGUGUCCUUGCCUAUAGCAUGGGAUUGGAAGUAAGUAAUCUUAAAGGUCCUUUCCAACCCCAAACCAUUCUAUGAUUCUUAAAAAUGGGGGAGCGGGGGAACCAUUUUUUAAUUUCCCUGCUAGGUACAUAAGAUGUGGGGAAAAUAAGCUUUGCUCAGUUUGCACAUUAGUCAUCAGAAGUGUUGGUGGCACUUUCCCCACCACUCCAGUUGAAGGCUCAUCCCUUCAUACACUGCUGCUUUAGUAGAUUAAAAUUUAGUCAUCAGUGCUGGCUUGUACGUGAACCUUAAUAGUCAGAGAUCAGGCUAAGAACUAUCAUUGCUGUUUUUUGUUAAAUCAGUUUAAAAUAUUAGAUCCAUAAAAGCUUUAAGAAAAGGCUUUGGUGGUUUUAUCUGCUCCCUGUGUUGCUAAUUCAGAACCCCUGGGCUUUUUGCUUUGCUAAUGACUAAUUUUUCUAGCAUUUAAGGCUGGAAUUUGCUCUUCAGGCUAACGACAUCUUUGCUGUAGUGCCACUGACUUCAAGUGGAAAAACAGCAAAUAACUGGGCUCACAAUUCCUUAUAAUUUUUAUUCUUUUUAUGUAUUAUGUACAGUGCUUGUCUAAAAGGAGCAGCGAAUUAUUUUGCUUUCCGUAGUUUGUCUACAAAAUCCAUACAAAAAAGGGUUCAUCAGCAAUUUCUGGCAGGCUGGCAAGAGGUGGAGACAGUUUAUGGAUCAGCUCAAAGCCACCCAGCUCCCACCCAGGGAGUUCAGCAGGAGCAAGUAAAUCAUUUCCCCAGGCAAUAAUUUCAUAGCCUGCAUGGGAAGCAACUGACUGUCCCAAGAGUCCUGAAGUGCCUGGACUGAGGUAUGUUCACAAAGUACUAUAGUGACGGAAUUAGAAGAACUCUGGACAGUGCACAGCUUUUGGUUCCAGUUUGUUAAAAGGAAAGAGCUUGGUUGCUGUCUGAAUCAAGACUGCCAGAUAAGGUAUGUUACAGCAGCAGCAGAGAGAAAAAGAGACUUGUAGCUUGUUUAAGCGUCAUCACUGUGUAAACGAGGUGUUCCUUACUGAGUAAGUUAGCUUAAAACAUAUAUUUGUGUUCUAAGGGCAACACCUCUUUUUGUGGCAGAAGGAGAUUACAUUUCUAUAGGAGUCAGUGCUGCUUUACAGUUUCAAACCACUGGGAUGGCCGCUUAAUUCGAUGUCUCCUCAUACAGAGAGGGAACCAAAUUGGAUGUUUCUGUACCGUUUCCACUAUUCAGUAUGUGACAUAAGACUUGCCAAACAAGUCAUUGCAAUCCUAACACCCCAACUGCUUUACUAAAAAUAUGCAGAAUAAUUUAGUACUCUCCCAGCCGUGUUAAACGCCGGAGCCAAGGAGAUGGUGCGAUAGAAGCAGCCCCAUUGGGGCACUACAGGAGGGUGGCCAUGCUGCUAAGGGUGCAAGAAGAAAAUAGGGAUACAGAAGGUAUUGGGUAAGGCUACCACUGACGUGUUCUUUUAACCGAUGGGGUAAUUUGUGCUCACUAUCCCUACUGCUCUCUUCUGGCAGAUCAACAGCAUCCCUGCAGUGUAGAUGGCCCAGCAAUAUGUGAGCAGUGCACUCUAAGCUGCUUUAGCCCAAAGCCAUUACGAACACGCUGACUCCUGCAGAGAAUGGUCAUCUGGAAAUAACCAUUGUCUUCAGGCUCAAGUUCUAUUCUAAUUUGAGGCACAACUUUUACUGGAGUUCGUGGAGGGCUGCGAAGAAAAAGAAGGCAAGAGGAUUUAUGUAAAGGCAGCCACAGCACCUGAGAGAAUGUGGAGAACGUUCACCCUGUGUAAUCUUACAUCAGCACAAUGAAUGGAGCGUGGAGUUCUAAGUGCAACUUGGAAGUCUCCCCAAGAAACAAGAGAAACAAGGACAGACGGUGCCAGUUAGCCAUCAAAUUUAAGAAGAGGUGGGAUAAAACAUAUUCCAGUAAAUUCCAAACUACUUUUCACCUCAUAGUUUCUAAUGAGACUGAAAGCAGAGGGUAGAAAAGCAGAGGAGGAAAAGGCAUCAUGGAUCCUAUUACACAUCCAACUUAAUACACAAUGGAAGUAUUUCCAGAAGGGCUGAUCGCUUGAGUCCCAGAUGAGCAAUUAUAGUCAUGCAAAGUGAAUCUCACAAUCUUUAACUCACACUAAUCUGCUACAAUUAAUAAAUAAAGGACAAUGAGUUUCAUUCUUCACUUCUAGAAAUUGGUUCUUCAAACAACGACUUCUGUUCCUUCAAGUGUUACGCACUGGUCACAUGCAGAUGGAAAUACUGGUCACAUGCAGCAUCCUUUGGAAAUAAAGAAGCUCAAAAGCAGUGGAUAUGCAGGGGUGCAGCCCCAUCUCCAAGUGCCUUGCAAGGCUUAAUGCAAAAGCAGCCAUCACUAACAACACCUUCCUGCCCACUUCAGCAAAUGUGACUUUAAACUUCUCCUCCCGUGCCAUAGGACCAGCCCAGCUACAUCAGCCAGUGUCUGCACUAAUCCAGGCGGCUGCAGAGGAGAAACCCUUUGUCUAUAGCAGAUUCCUGCAUAUGGUAACAACAUACAUGCUUCCCCCCAAAAAAAUAGCUGGUCCUCCAUCCCAAAGCACAGAGCCUUCUGCAAAGGCAAAAACAAUUGCACAGUAGCUAAAAAAGGGAGAGUGCUCUUUUUGAUGAACAAAAUUGUGUGCAGUGAG